UGCCGCCCUGAAGGGCGUAUGGUGGAUGCCUUGGCAGACAGUACCGAUGAAGGACGUUUGAGGAUGCGAUAAGCCUCGGGGAGCCUCCAACAUGGCUUCGAUCCGAGGAUUUCCGAAUGGGGCAACCCGCCGGCCGUCAUGGGCCGGCACGGAACCUUGUUGUUCCGGGGGUACGCAGGGAAGUGAAACAUCUCAGUACCUGCAGGAAGGGAUACUCCGUGAGUAGUGGCGAGCGAAAGCGGAUCAGACCAAACCAUGGGCGCGUGAUACCCGUCGGGGGUUGCGUUCGUGGUGUUGAGGGAGCGUGUGUCCCGGUUCCGACGGACCGGGCGGGAGUCAUAAAACGGCUUGCCAGGGGAACAGGCUUGAAGGCCUGGCCGCAGAGGGUGCCAGCCCCGUACCUGGAAGCUUGCCGUCUUCCGAUCAUGUGUCCCAAGUAGCGCGGGCCUCGUGGAAUCCCGUGUGAAUCGGCCCCGACCGUGGGGUAAGUCUAAGCAUACCUGUCUGACCGAUAGCGUACCAGUACCGUGAGGGAAAGGUGAAAAGCACCCCGGGAGGGGAGUGAAAGAGUUCCUGAAACCGUGCGCCUACAAUCCGUCGGAGCCUCCUUGUGGGGUGACGGCGUGCCUAUCGAAAAAUGAGUCUGCGAGUCAGUGGUGCGUGGCGAGGCUAACCCGUGGUGGGGGAGCCGUAGCGAAGGCGAGUCUCAAAAGGCGUUUUGAGUCGCGCGCCCUGGACCCGAAGCGGGAUGAUCUAGCCCUGGGCAGGUUGAAGCGCGGGUAAGACCGCGUGGAGGACCGAACCCACCUGGGUUGAAAACCGGGGGGAUGACUUGGGGCUAGGGGUGAAAGGCCAAUCAAAUUCCGUGAUAGCUGGUUCUCUCCGAAAUGCAUUUAGGUGCAGCGUCGGUUGAUUGCAUCGCGGGGGUAGAGCUACUGGAUGCUUGCGGGCCCGUGUCGGGUACCAAUAGCAGCCAAACUCCGAAUACCGUGGAUGUGUAUUCCGGCAGUGAGUCGGCGGGGGAUAAGCUCCGUCGUCGAGAGGGAGACAGCCCAGAUCGUCGUCUAAGGUCCCGAAGCGUGUGCUAAGUGGGAAAGGAUGUGGAGUCGCAUAGACAGCCAGGAGGUUGGCUCAGAAGCAGCCACCCUUGAAAGAGUGCGUAACAGCUCACUGGUCUAGUGGUUCCGCGCCGACAAUGUAGCGGGGCUCAAGCACACCACCGAAGACGCGGCAGCGGCCUUUGCGGCCGUUGGGUAGGAGAGCGUCCCGCGUGGGGCGAAGCGGCCGGGGAACCGUGCCGUGGACCGCGCGGGAGUGAGAAUGCAGACAUGAGUAGCGAGAGACGGGUGAGGAUCCCGUCCGCUGGAUGACCAAGGGUUCCGGGGCCACGUUCGUCGUCCCCGGGUGAGUCGGGUCCUAAGGCGAGGCCGACAGGCGUAGUCGAAUGGAUGAACGGGUGGAUAUUCCCGUACCGGCGGCGUACCGUAAGAGCCGAACGGAUGAGUACUAACCUCCGGUCGCGUGGCGUCGUUCCCUUCGGGGUUCGGGGUCCGCGGUCGUUGGGAGCGUAGUCCUGGUAGGCUAGCGCACAGGGGUGACACGGAAUGGGAGCCGGCCGCGGAGGUGGUUUUCCGUGGUCAAGCACGCAGCCCGUCCCAUAGGCAAAUCCGUGGGGCAUCGAGGGUGAGGUGUGAUGAUGGGCGUCCUUUGGACGCGAUAUCCGGUGGUCCAGGCCGUCGAGAAAAGCCUCGGCGCGAGGGGCGUCGCCGCCCGUACCCCAAACCGACACUGGUGGUCAGGUAGAGAAUACCAAGGCGAUCGAGCGAAUCCUGGUCAAGGAACUCGGCAAAUCACUCCCGUGCCUUCGGUAUAAGGGAGACCCCCGGGCGUGAAGAGGCUUGCCCUCGGAGCGUUGGGGGGUGGCACAGACCAGGGGGUAGCGACUGUUUACCAAAAACACAGGUGCAUGCGAAGGCGCAAGCCGCUGUAUAUGCACUGACGCCUGCCCGGUGCCGGAAGGUUAAGAGGAUCCGUCAGCCUUCGGGUGAAGCGGUGAAUUCAAGCCCCGGUAAACGGCGGUGGUAACUAUAACCAUCCUAAGGUAGCGAAAUUCCUUGUCGGGUAAGUUCCGACCUGCACGAAUGGCGUA
rnacentral:rRNA from 1 species